rnacentral:misc_RNA from 1 species
GAAAUGCGAUAAGUAAUGUGAAUUGCAAAAUUCCGUGAAUCAUUAAAUCUUUGAACGCACCUUGCGCUUUGUGGUCAUUCCAUAAAGCAUGUCUGUUUGAGAAUCAGUUCAAACCUCAUGCUCUUUGUUAGGUAACUAUCAAAGGGUGUGGCACUGGAAUUUUUACCUCACCGUGAAUCUUCUUAAUUUCAAGUUGCCUGGUAUUCUUACUAACACUGUACCGGAAAGCAUGACCAAUGGACACUCGGCCUCACAGCCAUGUUCUUGAUUGCUGACAAAGGUCUUUGACUAGCACUAGUACUCUUUGGCAAGAACAAACAAAAUCACUAGGAUCAGCAAUGAUCUUUAAGACUUGAUCUCAAAUCAGACAAGACUACCCGCUGAACUUAA